rnacentral:rRNA from 1 species
GACGAACGCUGGCGGCGUGCUUAACACAUGCAAGUCGAACGAUGAGGCGGUGCUUGCACCGCGGAUUAGUGGCGAACGGGUGAGUAACACGUGAGUAACCUGCCCUUGGCUCUGGGAUAAGCGCUGGAAACGGUGUCUAAUACUGGAUAUGACUUCUUGCCGCAUGGUGAGGGGUGGAAAGAUUUUUUCGGCCAUGGAUGGGCUCGCGGCCUAUCAGCUUGUUGGUGAGGUAGUGGCUCACCAAGGCGACGACGGGUAGCCGGCCUGAGAGGGUGACCGGCCACACUGGGACUGAGACACGGCCCAGACUCCUACGGGAGGCAGCAGUGGGGAAUAUUGCACAAUGGGCGCAAGCCUGAUGCAGCAACGCCGCGUGAGGGAUGACGGCCUUCGGGUUGUAAACCUCUUUUAGUAGGGAAGAAGCGAAAGUGACGGUACCUGCAGAAAAAGCACCGGCUAACUACGUGCCAGCCGCCGCCGUAAAAC